rnacentral:rRNA from 1 species
UACGUAGGUGGCAAGCGUUGUCCGGAUUUACUGGGCGUAAAGAGCGCGCAGGCGGUCGUUCAAGUCGCGUGUGAAAGCCCCCGGCUCAACUGGGGAGGGUCACGCGAUACUGAUCGACUCGAAGGCAGGAGAGGGUAGUGGAAUUCCCGGUGUAGUGGUGAAAUGCGUAGAUAUCGGGAGGAACACCAGUGGCGAAGGCGACUACCUGGCCUGUUUCUUGACGCUGAGGCGCGAAAGCUAGGGAGCAACGGG